CCUACGGGAGGCAGCAGUAGGGAAUCUUCCACAAUGGGCGAAAGCCUGAUGGAGCAACGCCGCGUGGGUGAAGAAGGUCUUCGGAUCGUAAAACCCUGUUGUUAGAGAAGAAAGUGCGUGAGAGUAACUGUUCACGUUUCGACGGUAUCUAACCAGAAAGCCACGGCUAACUCCGUGCCAGCAGCCGCGGUAAUACGUAGGUGGCAAGCGUUAUCCGGAUUUAUUGGGCGUAAAGGGAACGCAGGCGGUCUUUUAAGUCUGAUGUGAAAGGCUUCGGCUUAACCGGAGUAGUGCAUUGGAAACUGGGAGACUUGAGUGCAGAAGAGGAGAGUGGAACGCCAUGUGUAGCGGUGAAAUGCGUAGAUAUAUGGAAGAACACCAGUGGCGAAAGCGGCUCUCUGGUCUGUAACUGACGCUGAGGUUCGAAAGCGUGGGUAGCAAACAGGAUUAGAUACCCCAGUAGUC
rnacentral:rRNA from 1 species